rnacentral:rRNA from 1 species
AUGUCUAAGUGGAGUAUUAUACAGCGAAACUGCGAACGGCUCAUUACAACAGAUAUAAUUUACUAGUUCUUGAACCUAUAUGGAUAACUGCGGUAAUUCUGGAGCCAAUACAUGCAUCAAGCCUCGGCCUUCGGGUUUGGGGUGCAAUUAUUGGAGCAAAACCAGUCUUGAACUGUUUGCUAACUCAGGAUAAUUCUGCAUAUCGCAUGGUCUUGUACCGGCGAAGUUUCUUUCAAGUAUCUGCUUUAUCAACUAUCGUUGGUAGUUUAUUGGUCUACCAUGGUGUUGACGGGUAACGGAGAAUCAGGGUUUGACUCCGGAGAGGGAGCCUUAGAAACGGCUACCAUGUCUAAGGAUAGCAGCAGGCGCGAAAAUUACCCAAUAUCAAAACGAUGAGGUAGUGACGAGAAAUAACGAGAUCGUUCUCGAUGAGAUCGAUUAUUGGAAUGAGUACAAUCCAGAAAAUUUAACGAGUACCUACGAGAGGGCAAGUCUGGUGCCAGCAGCCGCGGUAAUUCCAGCUCUCGUAAUGUAUAGAAUUAUUGUUGCGAUUAAAAAGUUCGUAGUUGGAUUGCAACGCAGGCAUGGGUCCACCUUCGUGGUGCGUACUCAAUGUUUGCAUUUUGUUGGUUUUUGCGGCGUUGACUUGUCAGCGUUCGUGAUGCCAGCAGGAUUACUUUGAACGGCUCAAGUGCUCAAAGCGAGUCUUAUGACUGAAUACCGGUGCAUGGAAUAAUGGAACAAGGUUGUGGCCGAGUUUUAUUGGUUUUGUCGGCUGAAACAAUGGUUAACAGGAACAGCCGGGGGCAUUCGUAUCGCUGCGCGAGAGGUGAAAUUCGUGGACCGUAGCGAGACGCCCGACAGCGAAGGCAUUUGCCAAGAGUGUUUUCAUUAAUCAAGAACGAAAGUCAGAGGUUCGAAGGCGAUUAGAUACCGCUCUAGUUCUGACCGUAAACGAUGCCAACUGUCGAUCCGCUUGUGGAUUACAUUCACGGGCGGGGAGAUUUCCGGAAACGAAAGUUUUUCGGUUUCGGGGGAAGUAUGGUUGCAAAGCUGAAACUUAAAGGAAUUGACGGAAGGGCACCACCAGGAGUGGAGCUUGCGGCUUAAUUUGACUCAACACGGGAAAUCUCACCCGGCCAGUACAUCGUGAGGAUUGACAGACUGACAGCUCUUUCAUGAUUCGGUGAAUGGUGGUGCAUGGCCGUUCUUAGUUCGUGGAUUGAUUUGUCUGGUUUAUUCCGAUAACGAACGAGACUUUAACUAUUAAAUAGUGCGCUUGUUGCUUCGGCUGCGAGUGAUCACUUCUUAAAGGAAUUUGUGGUGUUUAACCUCAAGAAAUUGAGCAAUAACAGGUCUGUGAUGCCCUUAGAUGUUCGGGGCCGCACGCGUGCUACAAUGGUGGUAACAGCGUGAUUGUCCUUUUCCGACAGGAAUUGGCAAACAGUUGAGAUAUUAUUAUGGCUGGAAUUGAGUGUUGAAAUUUUCUCUCAUGAACGAGGAAUUCCAAGUAAAUGUGAGUCAUUAACUUGCAUUGAUUACGUCCCUGCCCUUUGUACACACCGCCCGUCGCUGCCCGGGACUGAGUUACUUCGAGAAAACUAGGGAUUGUUGGGGUUUGAUGUUUCGGCAUCUGCUUCGAUGCGAACUAGUUUAAUCGCAGUGGCUUGAACCGGGCAAAAGUCGUAACAAGGUAGCCGUAGGUGAACCUUCGGCUGGAUCAUUAUCGAUCAAAAACAAAAUCUGAGUGUUGGUGCUUUGGCGCUAUUCACGAAAAGUGUCACUUUCUUGGCGAGUACACUGAUGGCUUUGUUGGUUGUGCCUUUCGGGGUGCUUCCGACAGGCUGCCUCAGCCCUUUGUGGUUUUACUUAACGGCUUGGUUUGGCUUCUGUGGUUGUCUGAGCAGUUGUGUGUCACGUCCGUGGCUGCGAUGAGGACGACCGAUAGCUUGGCCCAUGUUAGAGUGUGGUCGAGUGAGAAUCAAUGACCCCGAGAGGGCGCCAAACAAACACAUUCUAUUUAUUCGUUUUCUGAAGCAAGUAACGUUAAGUUACUCCGGUGGAUCACUCGGUUCGCGGGUCGAUGAAAAACGCAGUGAAUUGCGAUAACAAGUAACGAAUUACAGAUAUUAUGAGUGCCAUGUUUUUGAAUGCAUAUUGCGCCGUUGGGUUCUGCUCUUCGGCAUAUGUGAUUCAGGGUAUGUUCACAGACAGGAGCAGUUCAGUUGUUGACGAAACCAUUGCGGUUUCUUUUUGUGAUGAACUUGCAUUCCGCCACGCAUAGGCGAUCGGCAUUUGGCUGGAAACGGUCGAACCGGUUGUUUUUCUUGUGUGCUGAGUUGGUGUCUGCGCAUCGUUUUCGGACGUUGUGUUGCCGCCUUCUCCUGGAAGGACUAUUCAAAGGUGUCUUGGUGGUCGGGUUGGGUGUUGGCGUGUGCCCGUCGGGGUGCGCGUCCGCUCGAUCCGCCGUGUCGUAUACGUCCGGCGUUUUGCAACGUCCGCGUUGUGUUGAGGUCUGUGUGCUCUUCGGUGUGCCUUUCUUGACGCAGCGCGUGUCGAAGCGGCGUCUUUUGUGUGACGGUGUACGUGAUGCGCUUUCCGCUUGGUUGGUGUGUCGUGUGCUGACGGCGCGGUUUUUGGCCGCCAACGACUCUAGUUCUAAACUACCUGAGUUACGUAUGAUUACCUGCUGAACUUAAGCAUAUCAGUAAGCAGAGGAAAAGAAACAAACAUGGAUUCCCCCAGUAACUGCGAGUGAAAAGGGAUGAGCCCAUCGCUAAAGGUUGCCGCCUGUUUGGGUGGUGACCGGUGUAGCGUAUAGAGCUUUUGUUCGGCGAUUUACAGCUGGUCUAAGUCUUGCUGGAAAGCAGUGGCGUAGACGGUUUUACCCCGGUAUGGCCGGCUGUGGUUGUCGAGUGACUGUUCUGGGAGUCGGGUUGUUUGGUAACGCAGCCCAAAGUUGGUGGUAAACUUCACCUAAGGCUAAAUAUGACCGCGAAACCGAUAGAAAACAAGUACCGUGAGGGAAAGUUGAAAAGUACUUUGAAAAGAGAGUGCAAGAGAACGUGAAACCGGUGUAAUGGAAGCGAAUGGAGCCGACGUAUCUGGUGCGUAUUCAGCCGUUGGGCGUGGUGAUUGCUGGCGUUGGCAUUCCGCAAGGUUGUCGCGUCGGUACUGUCGCUGUGUCUGGCGGUGCAUUUGCGUACGGAGUGCGCCGAGUCUUGCGGUGCUGUCGAUCGAAGCGGCUUAAGAGGACAGUUUCUUCGGACGCUGAAACCUUGGGUUGUCGAGGUCGGUUGGUGCUGCCGGAUUUUGUGGAGGCACGGGUUUUUCGUGCGGAUUCGUGGCGAUGCGCUUGGUUUGUGACGUACGCAUGCGUGCUGCGCUUACCGGUCGUGUCGUUGCGGGUUUGUGCCCUGUGCGCUUUUCGGUGUAUAGUCGGUGACCCAUUCGACCCGUCUUGAAACACGGACCAAGGAGUUUAUGGUAUACGCGAGUCAUUGGGCUCUGAAACCCAAAGGCGUAAUGAAAGUGAGUCUUUACUAGUUGGAAUGUGAUCGGUCGGGCUUUCGAGACCGGCCGAGCAACAUUGCCCCGUUUCGAGGACUUGUCCUGAUGCGGAGGUUGAGCGUAUGCUAUGAGACCCGAAAGAUGGUGAACUAUGCCUGAACAGGAUGAAGCCAGAGGAAACUCUGGUGGAAGUCCGAAGCGGUUCUGACGUGCAAAUCGAUCGUCUGAUUUUGGUAUAGGGGCGCAAGACUAAUCGAACCAUC